CGUUAGUGCACACUGGCCCAAAUUCCAAUUGCUAGUUCUUGCAUUACCUCGCCUGAGGGCUUUCUCUUGCCACUGGAGCCAGCUCUGCUGCCGGAGUCGGCUUUGCCACCCAUGUGGCAGCCCAGAAAUGCUGGGCAACGAACCCCUCUGGGAGCAGCCCUGGAUCAGUGACUGAUGGGUGCUGGUGUAUCUCUCAGUCAGUGAUCAGUCGAGAGGCAGAAGCCAUAUUAAUAUUAGUUCUUUGAACAGACAGGAUUUAACAUAGAAAAUGUUAACUAGGCAUAAAGUUGUUAAGUAGGUAACAAAUAAUGAAAAGAGAACUCUAAGAUAUCAUAAAGAGAGCGAUCGCGGGAAGCCACUCCCACCCCCAGGGCUGGGGCACAAAGGAAAGAGAAUGUAAUUAUUACAACCAGAAGCUUGGAGGAAGGGCUCCAUGGGGCUGGGGCCCAGACCUCUGGGGAGGGGGUGCUGCUCACCUCAUGCUGGUGUUUCUGAUGGGAGUGUGAUGAGGCCGGUUCUGUGAAGGUUGGAAAACUGCAAACCGGAUUCAGCUGUAGACACGGACAGGUGCUGCUGGUGCGAGGGUGAAGAAAUACUCCUGGGGGGAUGCUGACAGAAGCAGGAAGCUGACAAGAGGGAACAAGGAAGAACAGAAAGGAGUUGAAGUUCCUUCCCCCUCCUCCAGCCUUGGAGUCUCCCUCUAUCGCCCCCUAGGCGGAGUCUAACAGGGAGCCGCUGGCGAAGCCGAACCGUGCGUGGUGGAAUCUCAUUCCCGGAGUGAAAGAUUAGCCCUGAGCCAACUACUGCCAGUCCUCCUCUUUUUUGCUGAGGAAGACUGGCCCUGAGCUAGCAUCCGUGCCCGUCUUCCUCUACUUUAUAUGUGGGACGCCUACCACAGCAUGGUGUGCCAAGCGGUGCCAUGUCCGCACCCGGGAUCCGAACCAGCGAACCCUGGGCCACUGAGAAGCAGAAUUGACCAGCAUUUAUUUUCAAGUUGUACACCAAUCCUGCAGUUCUGAAAUAAACAUAUUCUUUUUCAUAAAAAUAAAAGGCAAUCUCUGCCAGUUCUCCCCAGACUGCGUCACGAUGACUCACAGUGGCGGCCCUCCAGAGCCUGGAAUAUUUCUGAUGCUAUGUGCUGGAAUUUUGUGGAAAGUUCAUUCUCUAAGAGACUUUCAUAUUGUUCCAAAUUUUUGGCUCCUGUGAACAAAGUUGCUAUGCACAUUUGUGCCCAAGUCUUUGUAUGUUUUCAUUUCUUUUGGGUAAAUACCUAAGAGUGGAAUUGCUGGAUUGUAUGGUAAGCGUAUGUCUACAUUUGAAUCUGCAAAAUUGUUCUCAUUUUUUAUUCCCAAUUGCGAGGCAUGAGAGUUCCACUUUCUUCACGUCCUUGUCGACUCUGAGCAUUGUUCGUCUUUUUAAUUUUAGCUCCUCUAGUGGGUGUGCAAUAGUACCUUGCUGUGGUCUGAGUUUGCAUUUUUCCAUUAACAAUGAUGUUGACCGUCUUCUCAUGUAUUUAUAGACCGUUUGUAUAUCUUCUUUUCUAAAGUAUCUGUUCAAAGUUUUUGCCUAUAUUUUGGGGGACUGUUUUUUUCUUUUGACUGUUUUAAGAGUUCUUUAUGCAUUCUGUAUACAAAUCUUUUGUCAGAUACAGGUAUUGAGAAUAUUUUCUCUCAGUCUACAGCUUGUUUUUGCAUUUUCUUAUUAGUGAUUUUCAAUGGGCAG
rnacentral:lncRNA from 1 species